rnacentral:rRNA from 1 species
GACGAACGCUGGCGGCGUGCCUAAUACAUGCAAGUAGAACGCACAGUUUAUACCGUAGCUUGCUACACCAUAGACUGUGAGUUGCGAACGGGUGAGUAACGCGUAGGUAACCUGCCUGGUAGCGGGGGAUAACUAUUGGAAACGAUAGCUAAUACCGCAUAAUAUUAAUUAUUGCAUGAUAAUUAAUUGAAAGGUGCAAUUGCACCACUACCAGAUGGACCUGCGUUGUAUUAGCUAGUAGGUGAGGUAACGGCUCACCUAGGCGACGAUACAUAGCCGACCUGAGAGGGUGAUCGGCCACACUGGGACUGAGACACGGCCCAGACUCCUACGGGAGGCAGCAGUAGGGAAUCUUCGGCAAUGGACGAAAGUCUGACCGAGCAACGCCGCGCGAGUGAAGAAGGUUUUCGGAUCGUAAAGCUCUGUUGUAAGAGAAGAACGGGUGUGAGAGUGGAAAGUUCACACUGUGACGGUAUCUUACCAGAAAGGGACGGCUAACUACGUG